rnacentral:rRNA from 1 species
CACGUAGGGGGCAAGCGUUGUCCGGAUUCAUUGGGCGUAAAGAGCUCGUAGGCGGUUUGUUGCGUCGGCUGUGAAAUCCCGAGGCUCAACCUCGGGUCUGCAGUCGAUACGAGCAAACUAGAGUGUUGCAGGGGAGACUGGAAUUCCUGGUGUAGCGGUGAAAUGCGCAGAUAUCAGGAGGAACACCGGUGGCGAAGGCGGGUCUCUGGGCCGAUACUGACGCUGAGGAGCGAAAGCGUGGGGAGCGAACAGG